rnacentral:rRNA from 1 species
UACGGAGGAUGCAAGCGUUAUCCGGAAUGAUUGGGCGUAAAGGGUGCGUAGGUGGUUGGGUAAGUCUGAUGUGAAAUCUCCGGGCUCAACCCGGAAAUGGCAUUGGAUACUAUUCGGCUAGAGGUUUGGAGGGGGGACUGGAAUUCUCGGUGUAGCAGUGAAAUGCGUAGAUAUCGAGAGGAACACCAGUGGCGAAGGCGAGUCCCUGGACAACACCUGACACUGAGGCACGAAAGCUAGGGGAGCAAACAGG